GAUGAACGCUGGCGGCGUGCCUAAUACAUGCAAGUCGAGCGAAUGGAUUAAGAGCUUGCUCUUAUGAAGUUAGCGGCGGACGGGUGAGUAACACGUGGGUAACCUGCCCAUAAGACUGGGAUGACUCCGGGAAACCGGGGCUAAUACCGGAUAACAUUUUGAACCGCACGGUUCGAAAUUGAAAGGCGGCUUCGGCUGUCGCUUAUGGAUGGACCCGCGUCGCAUUAGCUAGUUGGUGAGGUAACGGCUCACCAAGGCAACGAUGCGUAGCCGACCUGAGAGGGUGAUCGGCCACACUGGGACUGAGACACGGCCCAGACUCCUACGGGAGGCAGCAGUAGGGAAUCUUCCGCAAUGGACGAAAGUCUGACGGAGCAACGCCGCGUGAGUGAUGAAGGCUUUCGGGUCGUAAAACUCUGUUGUUAGGGAAGAACAAGUGCUAGUUGAAUAAGCUGGCACCUUGACGGUACCUAACCAGAAAGCCACGGCUAACUACGUGCCAGCCGCCGCUGUAA
rnacentral:rRNA from 1 species